rnacentral:tRNA from 1 species
CGUGGGAUGGCCGAGGUGUGAGGCGGUGAGCUGUAAACUCAUAAACAAGGCGUAGGCCUUUCUUACGA